CCCUAUUCCUCUUUCCUUUUAAACCAAAAAGAAAACCCUAAUCCCUACACUUUCACUUUCUCUCUCUUUCUCGCUCCCCCCAUGAACUGAUCGCCGGCGGCGGACAAUCAAAUGUAGCUGCCACGGCCGCUUGUCACCGACGAGACCACCAUCGGGAACAGCGUUUCAACUACCGCCGCAAUAAUCAUUUUCUCCUCUCACUCUCUCUAGGUCUUGUAGGGCUUCGAUUGAGAAGAAUCCCAAAAUGCAACUCCAAAACCCUCAAAAAACCCAUCUAUCAAAAACCCUUCUCCCAAAAAUAUGAAGUUUGUGACGACUCAGAUUUCAAUUUCGUUGAUCUACACCUAUUCUAGAGUGUAGAAUAGAAGAAUAGAUACCCUGCUCUUAAGAAAUGCUCACAAGUUGGUGGUCGAAUCAUCAAUCUGGGACAACUCAAGGAUAGCCAUUGUCUGGUUCUCAAAAGUGUUGUUGUUUCGUUCUCCCCAAAUGGCAAGUACAUACUCAACAUAUAUCAUCCUUAGCGUUCUAGUCUGCUUGGAUCUCCCUUCGUUUCUUUGAAAAAGCCACUGCUGAUGUUGAUUCCAUGAACUAGUAGGGUGGACAGGGAUCUUCAUCCACUUAAUCAGAUAUGCGCAUAAUCGCUUGGCAGCAAAGAUACAUCCAAAAAAGAAGUGGUCUCUUGAUUCUGUUAAAUUACCACACAUCACACAUAUUGGGUGCACAGACAUACCCCAGCUGAUUAAACGAUCAAACACUUAGAAGCCUAUCCUACAGUUAAAGCCACAUGAUAAAGAUGGCUUUGGGUCUUGCAAUAUUAUAGAACAUAAGACUUUUCCAUUCAACUCUUGAAAUGUCGCCUAUCAUUUGCAGGUACAUCGUUGGAAUCCAACUAUGCUUAGAAGAUGUUUUUGUUGUAAAGUGUCAAUCCUGUUUCGGGACUCAAUUAUUUUUUUCACCAUUCAAUUAUUAACUUUUAAUUUUAAAUAAUCUAAGGUUACACGUGUGAGACACACAUGUGGUUAAACUAAUACUAUAUUAAAAAUGAAAAGUCUCAAAAUUGAGUUUGUGGAGUUUGAA